UGGGGAAUAUUGCACAAUGGGCGCAAGCCUGAUGCAGCCAUGCCGCGUGUGUGAAGAAGGCCUUCGGGUUGUAAAGCACUUUCAGCGGGGAGGAAGGCGUUAAGGUUAAUAACCUUGGCGAUUGACGUUACCCGCAGAAGAAGCACCGGCUAACUCCGUGCCAGCAGCCGCGGUAAUACGGAGGGUGCAAGCGUUAAUCGGAAUUACUGGGCGUAAAGCGCACGCAGGCGGUCUGUCAAGUCGGAUGUGAAAUCCCCGGGCUCAACCUGGGAACUGCAUUCGAAACUGGCAGGCUAGAGUCUUGUAGAGGGGGGUAGAAUACCAGGUGUAGCGGUGAAAUGCGUAGAGAUCUGGAGGAAUACCGGUGGCGAAGGCGGCCCCCUGGACAAAGACUGACGCUCAGGUGCGAAAGCGUGGGGAGCAAACAGG
rnacentral:rRNA from 1 species